GCUUAACACAUGCAAGUCUACUUGAUCCUUCCCGUGAAGGUGGCGGACGGGUGAGUAACGCGUAAAGAACUUGCCUUACAGACUGGGACAACAUUUGGAAACGAAUGCUAAUACCGGAUAUUAUGACUGAGUCGCAUGAUUUGGUUAUGAAAGCUAUAUGCGCUGUGAGAGAGCUUUGCGUCCCAUUAGUUAGUUGGUGAGGUAACGGCUCACCAAGACGAUGAUGGGUAGCCGGCCUGAGAGGGUGAACGGCCACAAGGGGACUGAGACACGGCCCUUACUCCUACGGGAGGCAGCAGUGGGGAAUAUUGGACAAUGGACCAAAAGUCUGAUCCAGCAAUUCUGUGUGCACGAUGAAGUUUUUCGGAAUGUAAAGUGCUUUCAGUUGGGACGAAGUCAGUGACGGUACCAACAGAAGAAGCGACGGCUAAAUACGUGCCAGCAGCCGCGGUAAUACGUAUGUCGCAAGCGUUAUCCGGAUUUAUUGGGCGUAAAGCGCGUCUAGGCGGUUUAGUAAGUCUGAUGUGAAAAUGCGGGGCUCAACCCCGUAUUGCGUUGGAAACUGCUAAACUAGAGUACUGGAGAGGUAGGCGGAACUACAAGUGUAGAGGUGAAAUUCGUAGAUAUUUGCAGGAAUGCCGAUGGGGAAGCCAGCCUUCUGGACAGAUACUGACGCUAAAGCGCGAAAGCGUGGGUAGCAAACAGGAUUAGAUACCCUGGUAGUCCACGCCGUAAACGAUGAUUACUAGGUGUUGGGGGUCGAACCUCAGCGCCCAAGCUAACGCGAUAAGUAAUCCGCCUGGGGAGUACGUACGCAAGUAUGAAACUCAAAGGAAUUGACGGGGACCCGCACAAGCGGUGGAGCAUGUGGUUUAAUUCGACGCAACGCGAGGAACCUUACCAGCGUUUGACAUCCCAAGAAGUUAACAGAGAUGUUUUCGUGCCUCUUCGGAGGAACUUGGUGACAGGUGGUGCAUGGCUGUCGUCAGCUCGUGUCGUGAGAUGUUGGGUUAAGUCCCGCAACGAGCGCAACCCCUUUCGUAUGUUACCAUCAUUAAGUUGGGGACUCAUGCGAGACUGCCUGCGAUGAGCAGGAGGAAGGUGGGGAUGACGUCAAGUCAUCAUGCCCCUUAUACGCUGGGCUACACACGUGCUACAAUGGGUAGUACAGAGAGCUGCAAACCUGCGAGGGUAAGCUAAUCUCAUAAAACUAUUCUUAGUUCGGAUUGUACUCUGCAACUCGAGUACAUGAAGUUGGAAUCGCUAGUAAUCGCAAAUCAGCUAUGUUGCGGUGAAUACGUUCUCGGGUCUUGUACACACCGCCCGUCACACCACGAGAGUUGGUUGCACCUGAAGUAACAGGCCUAACCGUAAAGAGGGAUGUUCCGAGGGUGUGAUUAGCGAUUGGGGU
rnacentral:rRNA from 1 species